CCACUCUGUUGCGUCACUGAAAAAUAUUGACAACUUUCCCGCCUUUGUUUAUUUCCGACAUACCCUGGUCAGGUCAGACAGCGAGACUUUGACCAGAAAAGACAUAAAACAAGCUACCGCGUAAAAUGUACAUGAAGGGACGUGUUGAAUAUCAAAUCACCCAGUUCUGAAUGAAGUCACCAUUACUCACCUGGAAGACAACAUCCCAAACCCUCGUGUUCAAGCAUGGCAGGCCAGAUGUUCUAAAAAUACAGGAUUUAUCAUGUAUAUUUGAGAUGGACGGAUCAGCAUCUCGAGUAGAUGCAGUGUAAAAAUGGGAUCGAGAACGUAUGGCUUGGGCUACAACAGAGAAAAGUGCCAGUAGAAGAGCAGGUCUUCUGACAGGUCAGGAAAUCUCUCAGUUAGGAAACCAUUGCCCCAAACCAGAGAAGAAAAGACAGAUACAUCUGUGCCUUAUGAAGUAUAUUCAGCCAGACAUAUAAACAUAAAGGCUACACAAGGUAACAUAACAGUAUAUUACAUUCAGGGCUGACCAAAAUUUUUAAAACAUCUCAUGAUUGUAGCAGGAGUGUCGACUUAAUAAAGGGAUGUACAAUUCUCAGCCCGACUGCAAACAUGGAUCAUUAACAAUACAUCAAUAUCCCUUCGAUAAUCAUGUCAUCAGCAUACAUCUAAGAAAUGUUAACUGCACUGUCUUGUCUUACAUAUUUGUCCGAAUGACACGGAUAAGAAGCAUGGUUCACUCAAAGGACCACCCAUCCCUCACAGAUCCAAGCUGAAUACAAAGUUAAAAUCGAAUUUUCCCAUGCAUGUACUGACCACACUCAUUCCUCCUAUUUGCUUGUGAUCUUAUAUCAAUCUGCUGUAAGGGGUUGGUUUUACGAAGUGCUGAGACCCCUAACCAGGACCUAAGUCAAAUCCUUGAUGAUAACUUGCAGAUGUCAAUCAUCCACUUACAAAAGUUGAUACCAGAAAGAUUACAUGAAGUGUUGGGAGACAAGCUAGAAGCUGUAGGAAUCAGACUGCACAAUUUUCGUUACCCUUAAUCUUCUCUGCAAUGUGUAACAGACCAUUUAGAAUUGCCAGUUU